UACGGAGGGUGCAAGCGUUGUCCGGAUUUAUUGGGUUUAAAGGGUGCGUAGGCGGUCUUUUAAGUCAGUGGUGAAAGCCUCCAGCUUAACUGGAGAACUGCCAUUGAUACUGGAAGACUUGAGUACAGACGAGGUAGGCGGAAUUGACAGUGUAGCGGUGAAAUGCAUAGAUAUGUCACAGAACACCGAUUGCGAAGGCAGCUUACUAAAGUGCGAUUGACGCUGAGGCACGAAAGCGUGGGGAUCAAACAGG
rnacentral:rRNA from 1 species